UCUGAAAGCUAUUAUAACUAUUACUGUGAAGUAACUGAUAAUACCUCCAAUACUAUCAGUUACUUUACAGAGCUCUUUUUUCCUUCAAUUUUUGACGUCUGUUAAUCGCUUGUUGCUCGAUACAAUCGACAAAUUUUCCUGAUUGAAUAUCAUUUGUAAACAAAUGUCAGUUUAAAUGAUGAUCGUUUACAUUAUUUUUUUUGCUUUAAUUAUUGCUGCAUUUGUCGUUUAUUUAUUGUUGAACUUCUGGCCAGAACGAGGAAUCGACACCAGCCCCUUUCAAUGCUUAGCCUGUUCUGACCAUGCUGCUGCUUCGUUCAUGCGAACGAUAAAAUCAAAAUCGUAUGUUAGUUAUCUGUGGACACUCAGCUCUUAUCAUCGAGUAAGAAGGCAGAAUGAUGAUUUAGCGGUUUUCACCGACCUUUUGUAUUGUCAUGGCCCUCCUAAAUGUGACUGCAUAGAAAAAUUAAUGAACGAAUGUGAUUAUUCCAGGAGAUGGGUUUAUUUGUAACUUCAUAAUCAAUCUCCAUAUAAAAUUUUUUUUGAAAUUCA